rnacentral:rRNA from 1 species
CCUACGGGUGGCAGCAGUCGAGACUCAUUCACAAUGGGGGAAACCCUGAUGGUGCGACGCCACGUGGGGGAAUGAAGGUCUUCGGAUUGUAAACCCCUGUCAUGUGGGAGCAAAUUAAAAAGAUAGUACCACAAGAGGAAGAGACGGCUAACUCUGUGCCAGCAGCCGCGGUAAUACAGAGGUCUCAAGCGUUGUUCGGAAUCACUGGGCUUAAAGCGUGCGGAGGCUGUUUCGUAAGUCGUGUGUGAAAGGCGCGCGCUCAACCCGCGGACGGCACAUGAUACUGCGAGACUAGAGUAAUGGAGGGGGAACCGGAAUUCUCGGUGUAGCAGUGAAAUGCGUAGAUAUCGAGAGGAACACUCGUGGCGAAGGCGGGUUCCUGGACAUUAACUGACGCUGAGGCACGAAGGCCAGGGGAGCGAAAGGGAUUAGAUACCCGUGUAGUC